CGAUCAGCCAUUCCCUUUUUUCAUGUUUAACAAUGUCGCUCCUUUUUCUUUUAAUCAUCUCUGGGAUACUGGCCAAGGAACUUUAUGUCUAGAAAGAAUGGAUCGCUGUGAAUUUGAGUUUGUGUGUUUGUUUGUGGGGUUCUGGGCCUGAUGUAUCCUGCUGGGGUAAUGACUAUUUGUUAGAGACGGUUGAACUUCUAAUGUGGAAUUUUGUUGAGGUGUGGGGUCAUCAAGUACUCGGUGCUGAUUUCUGUGGCCUGUAAUUGAUAUAAGAUGGAUUCUUGUUGGCUGUCAUGUGUGUUUUACUCUUGAGACUUGGUGUUUAUGUUUUGAAGGUAAUAGUGAGAGUUUUGAUAUGGCUGGCUCAUGGAUGAUGAUAGGGGUGUGGUUGAACUGUGGACAGGGAGGAGGCGGCAGCAUUUAUUGUGUUGGUUGUGGUGGUGUUUCAUUUUUCUGAUCAGUGGUGGUAGUUGUUGAUAAGCAGAAGUUCGAUCAUGAGUUCAGACAGCAAGAGCCGAAGCAGAAGCAGGAGUCCCAUGGGUCGUAAGAUCAGAUCUGAUCGCUUUUCUUACCGUAACGCAUCAUACAGGAGGGAUUCUGGUCGGGGUUGCAGGCAAAAUAAUCUGUGCAAGAAUUGCAAACGAACCGGGUCACUUUGCCAGAGAGUGCCCUAAUGUGGCAAUUUGUCACAAUUGUAUUCUCCUGGGCACAUUGCGUCGGAAUGCACAACCAAGUCUCUAUGCUGGAAUUGCCAUGAGCCUGGACACACUGCUAGCAGCUGCUGUGGGAAGUCUGGACAUCAGGCCAGAGAGUGCACAGCACCUCCAAUGCCACCUGGGGAUGUGAGGUUAUGCAAUAACUGCAUAAAUCAGGUCAUAUUGCACUUGACUGCUCGAAUGACAAGGCAUGCAACAACUGUAGGAGGCCAGGUCACCUGGCACGCGAGUGCACAAAUGACCCGAUCUGCAACAUGUGCAAUGUAGCUGGCCAUGUGGCUAGGCAUUGCCCAAAAGGCAACAUGAUAGGAGAUCGAGGUGGUGUUGGUCGUAGU